UACUAAUGCAACUGCGAAUAGCUGUUUAAUACAGUCGUAAUUGUAUUGACUUAGUAUAAUGUUAAUAAUAGUUAUUUAUAGGAUAACUAAGGGAAAGUUUGGCUAAUACGUUUUAACAGUAUUAUAAUUCUUAAUACACAUAUAAUAAUAUUAUAAUAUGAUAAAUAUUAUAUAAAUAUUUUAAUACAUUUAUUUGUAUUAAUAUAUAGAGUUGACUUUAUAAUAUUUAUUUAUUAUAAAGCAUGUCAAACAAGCAUCUAUAGCAUCAAGUCACAAUGUUGGCAUGUGUAUUAUUGAACCUUCAAAGCAUUUACGCAUUCGGAGGAGUAGUUUCUGAUCCCGUCGAAGGUGCCUGAGAGACGGCACUUAGUUCUAAGGAACGCAGCAGGCGCGUAAAUUGCCCAAUGACAAAACAUGUUAUAAUAAAAUAUAUAAUGUAUAUAUAUUGAAUACUCAAUAUUUAAUUGAGGCAGUGACAAGCUGUAAAGAUUGAAUAUAUUAAUUAAGAUAACAUUUGGAAUUGUCGUUUUAUAAUAUUUUUUAAUAUUAUAUUACUUGAUAAUAUACCAAUGUUAUAAAAUAUUCAAUUUGAAUGCGGUGAAUGUAAUAAUUUCAAGUAACAUGUAUAAAAUAUUUAUAUUUUAUUAGUUAUCUGAAUUUUCAAGUGGAGGGCAAGUCUGGUGCCAGCAGCCGCGGUAAUACCAGCUCCACUAGCUUAUACAAUCAUUGUUGCGGUUAAGAGGCUCGUAGUUGGAUUGAAUAAAACAUAUAUACACAAUACUGUGAACAAACCAGAGUGUAUAAAACAUGUAAUAUAUUAUAUAUUUAGCAAUGAAUGUUUUAUCAUGGAAUAUUGCUAUAAUGAAUAUUAAUAUCGAUGGAGAUAGUUGGAGUUAAGAGUACUGAUAGGCGAGCGGUGAAAUGCAUUGACCCUAUUAAGACUAACAAAAGCGAAAGCACUUAACUAGAUUAUUCUCUUUGUAUUAUUUUACAAUGAAGAGCGAAGGUUGGGGGAACAAAGAGGAUCAGAUACCCUCGUAGUCCUAUUUUUACAUCAAACUAUGGGAUUUCAUUCACACUAAACACUAAACAUUAUAAUUAUAAUUAUGAUUGAGUAUAUGUCAAAAUAUUACUCUCAUAUUAAAUAAUUAUUAUAUAUAUGAUUAUAUGUACUUUGAGCUCAUAUAAUUAUAUAGGUGAGAUGUAAGCAUUAUAAAGUGAAUAAUAUACAAGUAAUAUUGUAUUAUUAUGAUCUUUAAAAUAAAAAAUGUAAUGUGAUGCACGUUUUAGGUACGAGCUUACUAUAGAAAUAUUUAAAAUAAUACCCUCCUGGGGUAGUAUGCACGCNNNNNNNNNNCUUGAAGGAAUUGACGGAAGGGCACCACAAGAACGCGUGGAGCAUGUGGCUUAAUUUGACUCAACCCGGGAAAUCUUACCAGGUCCAGACAUAUUGAGGAUUGACAGGCGAUAGUAUAUAAUUCAUUUAUAUGCAUAAAAAUGAUAGUCCUUUCAUGAUUAUAUGAUAGGUGGUGCAUGGCCGUUCUUAGUUCGUGGAGUGAUUUGUCUGCUUAAUUGCGUUUCAGUAAAUAAAAUAUAUAAUAUAUUAUAAUAUUUAGUUCUGCCUUGAAUAUUAUUCAAGGAUUUAAAGUGAACAUAUUAUAUAUAUUAUUAUAUAAUAAAUGAAUGC
rnacentral:rRNA from 1 species